GGUGACCAUGGAGGCGCAAAUUGCGGCGAUUGUGCGGCAGAUGACUGUGCUGACGGAUGCAGUCAAGAGCCUUCAACAACAACCAAUCUGGUUGCCGCAAUUGCCGGUGGGGCAACCGGCGGCACACCCGAUGUCCUCCAGGAGCAGCCGCCGAUGCCCGCAUCGGUCUCCGUCUCCUCCUCAAGAGCAGCUGUCACAACACUCCCA
rnacentral:lncRNA from 1 species